UACGUAGGGUGCAAGCGUUAAUCGGAAUUACUGGGCGUAAAGCGUGCGCAGGCGGUUGUGCAAGACCGAUGGUGAAAUCCCCGGGCUUAACCUGGGAAUGGCAUUGGUGACUGCACGGCUAGAGUGUGUCAGAGGGGGGUAGAAUUCCACGUGUAGCAGUGAAAUGCGUAGAUAUGCGGAGGAACACCGAUGGCGAAGGCAAUCCCCUGGACCUGUACUGACGCUCAUGCGACGAAAGCGUGGGGAGCAAACGAGG
rnacentral:rRNA from 1 species